rnacentral:misc_RNA from 1 species
AUAUAUACAAAUGUAGAAAGAUAGCAUGUAAUUGCUUUGGCUGAUUGGCGGUUCACUUUCUUCCUUGAUUAGGUUUCAUUCUCUAUUACAUUAUUACAGACACAGUGGACUUCUGCCUUUGCUGUAGGGUGCAUAGACUUGUUUAAAUUCUAUUUUACAAAUAUGAAAUAUCUGGUAAAAGAAACAUAUUCUUGAGCACUGACUGAAUUUAUUUACAGUUGUUUCGGCAACAACAGCAAAUCUGAGAGACGGUCAACGGAGAGUUCCUAAUGGUGUUUUGUAUGUAUACCACUUUGAGAUCAAGAGAAAGGCACCUAAAUUGAGCACACUCAUUACUGCCAACAUCCAGAAGAAGUAAUCGACAUGACCAUAAUUUAAGUUGUCGGGUAUCCACCCAGGUUUUCCAUUCCUGGUGGAGAUGCUUGUAGCAAUAGUCAUAAGGAGAGAACUCAAGUAAUUGCCAAGAGCAACUGUGGUGAGUGAUAAAGCAGAGCACAAGCUCCUCAUGGCAUCAGGUGCUUCCUGGUAGAAGAAUUCCAACUGCCCAAUGAAUGUAAAA